AUAAUUAUAAUUUAAAAAAAAAUAUUUCUUUUACAAAGAAAAAUUAAAUAUAUAUUUUAAUUAUA
rnacentral:tRNA from 1 species